rnacentral:rRNA from 1 species
GAUGAACGCUGGCGGCGUGCCUAAUACAUGCAAGUCGAGCGAACAGACGAGGCGCUUGCUCCUCUGACGUUAGCGGCGGACGGGUGAGUAACACGUGGAUAACCUACCUAUAAGACUGGGAUAACUUCGGGAAACCGGAGCUAAUACCGGAUAAUAUAUUGAACCGCAUGGGUCAAUAGUGAAAGACGGUUUUGCUGUCACUUAUAGAUGGAUCCGCGCCGCAUUAGCUAGUUGGUACGGUAACGGCUUACCAAGGCAACGAUGCGUAUCCGACCUGAGAGAGUGAUCGGCCACACGGGAACUGAGACACGCUCCAGACUCCUACGGGAGGCAGCAGUAGGGAAUCUUCCGCAAUAGGCGAAAGCCUGACGGAGCAACGCCGCGUGAGUGAUGAAGGUCUUCGGAUCGUAAAACUCUGUUAUUAGGUAAGAACAAAUGUGUAAGUAACUAUGCACGUCUUGACGGUACCUAAUCAGAAAGCCACGGCUAACUACGUG